ACCUCCAGCGAUUGAGAGAAAGCAGAUCUCUGUGCAGGGUCCUAGUAGGUUAAGCAGAGAGGGCAAGAGCCUCGACCGCGACGCUGCCGUACAGAUGCUACUUUAUUCACAUGCCCCUUCUGCACAACUGAUGUAUGUAAGCCAAGACAGUACCAUCAAAUAAUGACCCAUAUAGCUGGCCAUAAACUGAGAGCGGUUGAAUAUGGAGGU
rnacentral:lncRNA from 1 species